GCAGAAUCCUGAGCAUAGAAAACCUCAAAGCGUGCCCCCACGGAUUCCUUUCCAAGCUUUCUCAGGUUUUACAUGGAUUUAGUCAGCACCACAUUGGGCAUGAAUUGAAAAAUGACUGCUGAACUUGCCUAAAGCUCUGUUCUUGCUGUCUAGCUCCCAGGCUCUAAUGAAGAGGCGACAGGUUUCCAAACAAGUAACUAUGGCACGUGAUAUUACAGACAUCUGUUUAGAAUUGAAAAGAAUGCUUUUGGUGGGAGCCAUGGAAGUGGGAUGAAGAUAAAUACCAAGAGUAUGGAAGCUCCUCCAGCCAGAACUGGAAGAAAGGCUGUGAAUGAAAAAUGAUGACUCUUGGUCAGAGCUCCAGGAAAUGGAUUGCAAGCUCCACCCAUGGAAAUUUCCCAGACUUUAAAAGGAGUUGGACUGGUGACUGACUGUACUGGACUUUGCCCUUUGUAGAACUUAGGACGGGGAUAUCAUCGGAUGUUUGUAGAAUUUCUGGAGGACCAGUUUGUGCCGUUCUGAGAGUGAGUUUAGACUGUGAACCUCUUAGAACAGACCUCGGUAAUGACUGUGUGAAUUGCCAUAUCUGCUUCUUACAUGCAAAAGUUUGGUAACUUGGUCAGAGCCUGACCUCAGGUGUGCUCUUGGGUUUGUGUGACUUCUCUGCAGGAGUAUCAACCACUUCCCAAAGUCAGUUGCAGAAGUAAUGAUGAUGCUCAUCACUACAGGCCAGUGGGUGGGUGGGAAAGAGAACUGUGGCAAAUCCAGAAAUCUGGGGCAGAAAAGCAGGAGGAACUGUUUCUCAAAAUACAAUAGCGAUAUUUUGGGUAUUACCUGAGAUGCUGGGGGAGGGAGAAGUUAUUCUUUGUAGGAAAUGAGCCAUGAGGCUCAGGCCAUCAUAAUUUGAGUAGGAAAAGUGACUGUGCCUAGGUACAGCCUCAGGUCUCACACUCGUUGGCCCCACACUCUGAAGGAGGAAGCACAGGGACCCGGAGCUGAAGCUCAUCUUCAGUUAUAUAAAAGGUUGAGGACAGCUUGAACUACAUGAGACUCUGUCUCAUUAAACAAAAAUAAAUAAGAUUUAUUAUCUACAUUAUAUAAGGAACUUAAGCAUCUCUAUAACAAUAAAAUAAAAACCCACAUUAAGGAUGUGCAACAAGGUUGAGUAUGUAUUUCUAGUGAGAAAACGUACAAAUGGCUAACAAGUAUUUGAGAAAACACUCAACAGUCCUAAUUAUCAAUGAAAUGCAAAAUGAGACUACAGUGAAAUACCAUCUUGUACCUGUUAGAAUGGCUAUGAUCAAAAUGAGACUAGCUGAGCUAGGAGUUAUAAUCCCAGCAGGAAUCUGAGGCAGGAGGGUUGCAACAAGUUUAAGGUCAGCCUAGACUAUGCAUUGAGUCCAGGAUCUUACCUUAAUGUGUGGUGAAACCCUGUCUCCAAAACCAAAACCAAACAAUAAGCUGAAUGCUGAGAGGACCAAGAAGAGUUCAGUGGUAGAGCCUCUUGCUUAGCAGGUACAGGUCCCUGAGUUUAAUCCUCAGCACUGCAAAAAAAGAAAAAAAAAACAAGAUGAAAAGUAGCACGUGUUGGUAAA